CGGUAGUCGAGACUGAGAGGUCGAUCGAUCACAUUGGGUCUGAAAAAAGCCCAAUACGUAAUGUACAGCAGUGGGGAAUAUUGGUCAAUGGUCUAUAAGACUGAACCAGCAAUUUGG
rnacentral:rRNA from 11 species